GACGAACGCUGGCGGCGUGCUUAACACAUGCAAGUCGAACGGAAAGGCCCCUUUGGGGGUACUCGAGUGGCGAACGGGUGAGUAACACGUGAGUAACCUGCCCUUGACUUCGGGAUAACUUCAGGAAACUGGGGCUAAUACCGGAUAGGAAUCCUUGCUGCAUGGUGGGGGUUGGAAAGCUUCGGCGGUUUUUGAUGGACUCGCGGCUUAUCAGCUUGUUGGUGGGGUAGUGGCUUACCAAGGCUUUGACGGGUAGCCGGCCUGAGAGGGCGACCGGCCACAUUGGGACUGAGAUACGGCCCAGACUCCUACGGGAGGCAGCAGUGGGGAAUAUUGCACAAUGGGCGGAAGCCUGAUGCAGCAACGCCGCGUGCGGGAUGACGGCCUUCGGGUUGUAAACCGCUUUCAGCAGGGGCGAAGCUUGUGGUGACGGUACCUGCAGAAGAAGCACCGGCUAACUACGUG
rnacentral:rRNA from 1 species